UAGGGCCUGUGACUGUGUUUACAGAUAGAUCCUGUGAGGCAGUGAGUAAAGUUAAAUGAGGCCAUAAAGUCCUUAAUCCAUAGGUCUAAUGUCGUUGUAAGAAGAGGAAGAGAAACCAGAGUUCUCUCUCCUGUGCAUACCAUCAAGGAAAGGUCAUGUGAGCACGCAGUGAGAAGGUGGCCAUCUGCAAACCAGGAAGAGAGCUUCACCAGAAACUGACCAUGCUGGCAUCUUGGUCUUGGACUUCCAAGCCUCAAGAGCUGGCAUUUGAGAACUCACAAGAGAUGGUUCAUGUCAUUACUGGGGCUGAAGAAAUAAGAAAAAAGAAUGGUUAUUGGAAUCUGAAAACUGGGAGUGCCGAGUGGAUAGAGCUGUGUAACAGGACCUGUGGCCUUAGGCAAGUGACUUAGCCGUGCCAUGCCAACUCUGUUGGGAGAGUCAAGGUCACAGUCUGACAAUGAGAUGAACUAAACUGAGAUUUGGAAGGUAGAAGAAAAAAGAGGAUUAUUCUUCAGAAGCCUUUGAAGCCAAGGGUGUGGGCAGAUGACAGACAAGAAGUUCACAGCAGCUUGCUGACAACAUCCUACAUCUCACCUGCUUUAGGCUUUGUAUAGCUUAGAUAGCUCAUGGUGACUUCUGGAGAAUUGUUCUCCUUGGUAUUGCAGAUUCAAAUAGUCAGUGGAAGCCACUCAGCAGUUCUUGAGAUUUCAGUGACUUCUGGAGGAAUUUUUAAGAACCAUCUACUUUAGUGCCAUAGGCUGGAAAUAUUGGUGAGAGCUUCCCUUUCUUUACUCUCCGAUCCAUACAAUGGUUUUGAAAAACUUUUAGUUUCUUCUAUUGAAAUCCUUCAUACUUGGAAUAAUAAAAUAGCUUCUAUUUUCAUGACCAAA